UAAUAGUACUUUAAUUUUAUUUUUAGUUAAUAUUUUAUUUAAUAAAUACUGAUACAGGGCUCUUUUGGGUCUUGUAAUCGGAAUGAGUACAAUUUAAAUCCCUUAACGAGGAACAAUUAGAGGGCAAGUCUGGUGCCAGCAGCCGCGGUAAUUCCAGCUCCAAUAGCGUAUAUU
rnacentral:ncRNA from 1 species